GGCUCAGGACGAACGCUGGCGGCGUGCCUAAUACAUGCAAGUCGAACGGUCUUUCUAUGGAAGCUUGCUUCCACUGAGAAGAUAGUGGCGAACGGGUGAGUAACACGUGGGUAACCUGCCCAUAAGAGGGGGGAUAACAUCCGGAAACGGGUGCUAAUACCGCAUAGUUUUCUUGAUCGCAUGAUUGAGAAAGGAAAGACGGCCUUUGUGCUGUCGCUUAUGGAUGGACCCGCGGCGUAUUAGUUAGUUGGUGAGGUAACGGCUCACCAAGACGAUGAUACGUAGCCGACCUGAGAGGGUGAUCGGCCACAUUGGGACUGAGACACGGCCCAAACUCCUACGGGAGGCAGCAGUAGGGAAUCUUCCGCAAUGGACGGAAGUCUGACGGAGCAACGCCGCGUGAGUGAAGAAAGGUUUUCGGAUCGUAAAACUCUGUUGUCAGAGAAGAACAAGUUGGAGAGUAACUGCUCCAGCCUUGACGGUAUCUGACCAGAAAGCCACGGCUAACUACGUGCCAGCAGCCGC
rnacentral:rRNA from 1 species